GCUACAGUCCAUGGGCUCGCAAAGAGUUGGAUAUGACAGAGUGUUUGAGAUGCUUGUGUUAUCCAAGUAGAGAUGUCUCAAUCCAGAUAUGUGCAGCUCAGCCAGGAUGCCUGCCCUGGAGACGCGGGCUCGGUGUCCUCAGCACACACGGGCAUUUACAGCCCCGGGAAAGGAGGGGCUCUGCUGGGGAGGAGAGGGUCAGGGAGAACCAGGGAGGUCACCACCCAGGUCAGAGGGAGCAGGCAGAGUCUGAAGUGACUCAGAAGGAGCAGCUGGAGGAAGCUGAGGGAAGAAGACCAGGAGUAUGAUGUCAGAGAGCCCAGAGAAGCAAGUGUUUUUGGAGGAGAGCAUGGCCAAGGGUGGCUAAUGCUGCUGACAGAAGGAUGGAGGAAGCACAACCUCCAGAUCUUAGCACGUGACCUGGCACUCAGAGGGCAUUGAAGUGUGUUGACUGAUUGAAUGGACUGAGAUGAUGAGGCUGUAAAAGAUGAAACAAUUAGACUUGAUUCAUCUGACAAGGAAGUAAAGCAGCUGACAUUUACGAAACCCUUGGUGGAUGCUGGCCACAUGAGGCCUGGAGGGGACAGUUCUGCCCUGAAGCAUCUCUCUCCAAGUGAUGUGGAGUGGCUGUCCCUGAGUCCCUCUGAUGUGUCCCCAUGGUGAUGAAGAGCAUGAGAGAUGGGACUGGAAAACGAAACGAACCAGUCUUCAUGCUUGAUCAGCCAGAGGAUCUUCAGCCCCACCCCUUGUCUCCACCUUCCGAACCCAGGAAAAGUCCACUGGUGAGAAUCUGACCGUAGACUUGCAAGGCCUGGGUGGAGGCCCAGCCCUGCCCCCUCCCAGCAGGGUGACUGUGGUGAAAUCUCUUAACCAGUCUAGGCUUCAGCUUCUCCAUCUGCACUCUGGGGAUGAUGAUAAGACACAACUCACAGCGCUGUCCUGAGGCUUAAAGGAGUGGGUAAUUCAAGUUCUUAGUGCAGUGCCCAGCCCCAAGAUAAGAUACACCAAAAGUUCCUCUGAGAGGCUGCUGACACUGACUGCCCUUUGAGCAUCCCCUGUGAUGAUGAUA